rnacentral:rRNA from 1 species
GAUGAACGCUAGCUACAGGCUUAACACAUGCAAGUCGAGGGGAAACGAUAGAGAAAGCUUGCUUUUUCUAGGCGUCGACCGGCGCACGGGUGAGUAACGCGUAUCCAACCUGCCCAUCACUUGGGGAUAACCUUGCGAAAGUAAGACUAAUACCCAAUGACGUCUCUAGAAGACAUCUGAAGGAGAUUAAAGAUUUAUCGGUGAUGGAUGGGGAUGCGUCUGAUUAGCUUGUUGGCGGGGUAACGGCCCACCAAGGCGACGAUCAGUAGGGGUUCUGAGAGGAAGGUCCCCCACAUUGGAACUGAGACACGGUCCAAACUCCUACGGGAGGCAGCAGUGAGGAAUAUUGGUCAAUGGACGAGAGUCUGAACCAGCCAAGUAGCGUGCAGGAUGACGGCCCUAUGGGUUGUAAACUGCUUUAUAAGGGAAUAAAGUGAGUCUCGUGAGACUUUUUGCAUGUACCUUAUGAAUAAGGACCGGCUAAUUCCGUGCCAGCAGCCGCGG